UAUUUCACCUUGAUCAGGGUUUCUCUGUUGCGUUAGGGUUUACAGUUCACCGGCGGUAAGAAAUGGAUCUUUCGAAGAAGAGAAAAAUGGAGGAGAACGGCCAAUACACCACCGAUGUCACAAAUGACGUCGCGACUCCGCCGUCAUUCUCCUCUAUAACUCUCACUCCACAGGAUGCGCGCAAGAUCCUGGAAUCCUUCACUAAGGAACAGCUCCUCGACGUUUUACAAACCGCUGUCGUACGUGACGUUACCGUUCUGGAGGCCGUUCGUUCAGUAGCGGAUUCCGAUCCUACCAAACGUAAACUUUUCAUCCGCGGUAUCGGUUGGGAAACAACCACGGAUAAGCUUCGAUCGACCUUUUCGGAUUUUGGGGAACUUGAAGAGGCUAUCGUAAUAACUGAUAAAAAUACUGGAAAAUCGAAAGGUUAUGGAUUUGUUACUUUUAAACAUAUAGACGGCGCGGUUUUGGCUCUGAAAACACCAAGUAAGAAGAUCGAUGGUAGAAUUACGGUUGCGCAGUUAGCGGCGUCUAAGGAUUCAGCUAAUGUUGAUGUGUCUACGAGGAAGGUGUACGUUGGCAAUGUCCCGUUUGUGAUAUCAUCGGAAAGAUUACUGAGUCAUUUUUCAUCAUAUGGGGAGAUAGAAGAAGGACCAUUAGGGUUCGAUAAACAGUCAGGGAAGCAAAAGGGGUUUGCUUUUUUUGUUUAUAAAACUGAGGAAGGGGCGAGGAAUUCACUUAUGGAUUCAAUCAAGAACAUUGAUGGGCACCAGGUUAUGUGUAAAAUGGCUACUGAUGGGAAGAAGGGUAAAGUAGGUGGUCCACAAGGGUCUAAUGGGAGACCCGUUGAUUCCGUUCGAUCAAUGCCAGGUUCCAUGAACUCCGGCUAUGGUAUGCCAGGUGGGAUAACAUCGUAUGGUGGGUACUCCAGUGGACCUCCAUUGCUUCAUCAAAAUCCGCAACUGAAUUCUUCAAUGCCUUCGUCAGUGAGCAGUGGUCCAGGUUAUGGGAGUCAAGGGCCACCCUCAUAUGGCGGUGGUGGUGGGUAUGCUGGUGGUGGCUCACAUUAUGGUGGUGAUACAGCCCUGGAUCAUCCUGGGCUUAACAAUUAUCCAUCUUCUAUGAACAGAUUUCCCCCAUCUCAGGGUGGAUACAGUGAUGGUGGAAGCUAUGGUUCUUCAGCUUACUCAACACAACCUUACCUUCCACCUAGUGGUCCAAGAGUCCCUCAUGGUGGGACGUACCAGAGUGGCCCACCAUAUUAUUGAGGUUUAGGUUAUACUCCAUUUGACAAAAAUUGCAAUCUUUUGUAUCACCCAAAAAAGUUGGGGCAUGGAUUUGCUCUUGAUCUCUAGUGAGUGCAAAAGACGGAAAUGCCCUUUGCUUCUUCAUCAUUGAAAAUAGCCCUAAAAAGCUUGUCUGGUUUGGUCCCUUCCUGUAACAAACGCUGCACAAAAGAUUAGAUAGAGAACUUUGAGGUAUCAUGGAUCAAGAAUAUCUGAUUUCUGCUCUAUGUCGGAAUCGGAAUCGGAAUUGAAAGUGGAAAUGGGGAAUUGAAGUUUUGGAAUUUUGUUUUGGUAUUCACCAAACCAAAGUUACCAUUGGUUGCUCAAAGUAGUAAUUGGAAAAAAAAAAGGAACAAAAAGUUUAAAGCUUAUGGUCGAAUAUCAUUUGUAGAUUUUUGUUUAAUGUAAGUUGUACAUAUAGUUUUGAUAUCAUUGCAUACGGGUUAGAAUCGAAUAAUGAAAUAAUAUGAGAGAGGAAAAACAUGUGCAAUUGUCGAUACAAAUAUUUUAUCUUGACACAAACACGUGAAACAUGUAUCUCCGUGGUGUUUGAAAGUUUUUGACUAAGAUGUAAAUAAAUUAAUCAAAAAAGUGCUUAGACUAUAUUCUUAUUUCACAUUGAAAUUGUGCCAAAUGGUAGAUGUAUAAACCUAUUUGUGUACGUCCUACA